GCAAUAAUGUACAACAAAGUAAGAACUAAAAAUAAGUCAGUAUGACCAAAUAGUCAAUUGACCCCCUAAGGAGUUAUUGCCCUUCAUAGUCAAUUUUUAACAAUUUUCUUAAAAUUUGAAGAUUUUCAAUUACAUUUUCCACAGAAAGUACUGUUAUAGAUAGAGAUAAUUGUAAGCAGCAAGAAUGUUUAGUAAAGUAAGAUCUACAAACACAUCACCAUCACCAAAACACAAUUUUGUCAUGAAUCCAUCUGUGUCCAUUGUUCAAUAUUCACAUAGACCAAGGUGAGCGACACAGGCUCUUUAGAGCCUCUAGUU
rnacentral:lncRNA from 1 species